UACGGGGGGGGCAAGCGUUGUUCGGAAUUAUUGGGCGUAAAGGGCUCGUAGGCGGCCAACUAAGUCAGACGUGAAAUCCCUCGGCUUAACCGGGGAACUGCGUCUGAUACUGGAUGGCUUGAGGUUGGGAGAGGGAUGCGGAAUUCCAGGUGUAGCGGUGAAAUGCGUAGAUAUCUGGAGGAACACCGGUGGCGAAGGCGGCAUCCUGGACCAAUUCUGACGCUGAGGAGCGAAAGCCAGGGGAGCAAACGGGG
rnacentral:rRNA from 1 species